AGUUUCGGGUUCUUGAUAACAGU
rnacentral:piRNA from 1 species